GACGAACGCUGGCGGCGUGCUUAACACAUGCAAGUCGAACGGAAAGGCCCUGCUUUUGUGGGGUGCUCGAGUGGCGGACGGGUGAGUAGCACGUGAGUAACCUGCCCUUGACUUUGGGAUAACUUCAGGAAACUGGGGCUAAUACCGGAUAGGAGCUCCUGCUGCAUGGUGGGGGUUGGAAAGUUUCGGCGGUUGGGGAUGGACUCGCGGCUUAUCAGCUUGUUGGUGGGGUAGUGGCUUACCAAGGCUUUGACGGGUAGCCGGCCUGAGAGGGUGACCGGCCACAUUGGGACUGAGAUACGGCCCAGACUCCUACGGGAGGCAGCAGUGGGGAAUAUUGAACAAUGGGCGGAAGCCUGAUGCAGCAACGCAGCGUGCGGGAUGACGGCCUUCGGGUUGUAAACCGCUUUCGCCUGUGACGAAGCGUGAGUGACGGUAAUGGGUAAAGAAGCACAGGCUAACUACGUG
rnacentral:rRNA from 1 species